rnacentral:lncRNA from 1 species
GAAAGAGCAGCCCUCGGCAGCGCUGGCCUCCGUGACUCCCCUCUAAGUCACGCCCCGAGGCGAGGGACUCCUCUGUCUCCCAACCUUGACUGGGGUGUCGCUGCCAGCCAGCCAGGAGCACCCAUCCACAGCGUGGCCUCAGGGCCAGCCGAUCAGGCCGCUCCUCGGGGAGCUGGGCCUGCCGCAGGUUUCUGCUUCUGUAACGCAGUCUGGGGACACAGAUCAGAAGCAGGGCUUUGCCAGGCGGAGCCGGGAGAGGCUGCCGAGAAAGCUGAGGGCCCCUCCCCCUGCCCUUCCCUGGAGACCUCCGUGUGGUUAGCCGCUGCACUCUGGGAAUGGCCCCGCGACCAUGUUCUGAUCGGGGUUUGUAGGGGCUUCACUGUGGUUCUAACGCCCACUGGUGCGGGGCCAGGGCUCCGCAGGGCAGCGUCUGGGGCUGCCCAGAGAACUCUGAUUCUGCAGCUGCUGCCUCCGCUGUCCACACUUGCGUCACUUCACCCUCUGUCUACACUCUGGUCACUUCACCCUCUGUCUACACUCCUGUCACUUCACCCUCCUGUCUACACUCUGGUCACUUCACCCUCUGUCUACACUCGCGUCACUUCACCCUCCUGUCUACACUCUGGUCACUUCACCCUCUGUCUACACUCGCGUCACUUCACCCUCCUGUCUACACUCUGGUCACUUCACCCCGCUGUCUACACUCCCGUUACUUUACCCUCCUGUCUACACUCUGGUCACUUCACCCUCUGUCUACACUCGCGUCACUUCACCCUCCUGUCUACACUCCCAUCACUUCACCCCCACUGUCUACACUCUGGUCACUUCACCUCCCUGUCUACACUCUCCCACUGUCUACACUCUGGUCACUUCACCUCCCUGUCUACACUCUCCCACUGUCUACACUCUGGUCACUUCACCUCCCUGUCUACACUCUCCCACUGUCUACACUCUGGUCACUUCACCUCCCUGUCUACACUCUCCCACUGUCUACACUCUGGUCACUUGACUGAACCUUGGGCUCUGGGGCUGCUCUGCAGGGCACCCUGUCUCGGAGGCUCCACUGGAGCUACACUUUUUUUUUUCUAA